AUUUUUUUUUGGGUGAAACAUUAUGGGUCCUCUUUUGAUUACGUAAAUAUUAUUCAAAUACACAAUACGUUACUUUUAAAAUACAUGGUAAGUACUUUUCAUUAUGCUAUGAUUUUUUCCAAGUUUUCUUUGGGGAAUUUUCAAAGUAAAUGGUGAAGAUUUAUUAAAUACACGAUGUACUUUUUUUUAUAAGAGACGGCCAUUUUUUAGUACACGAUGAACCCUUUUGCGUAACACGACGAACAAAUAUUAACAUGCGACAGAAAUUUUAACACAGGAUGAGGAGAGUGCGAGAGCACGUGGAAGCGGAGCCAGCGCUGGGACAAGCACUGGCGCAGGAGAUGGGGUGCGCUCGAGGAGCGCAUCGACAAGGAGUUGAAGCUGUUGGCCCUUCGGAUCGUCGCUGAGGCCAACAUAGAGGAGCGUGUUCGUAUGGUCUCACUAGAUGUCUAGAUCCCGUGCCUGGCGCACCAUAUGUCAGUGUGAUCUCACGAUAUCAAGGAUCAGGGGAGUCCUUUUAUGGUUCGGCCAGGGGCUAAAACACUUAAGAUAAACAACUAGUUAAAUCAUCACCUUAAUUAAGGCAUGACUCUUUUUUUUAUCAGUGAAAACAACAGGAGAGGCUCCUACCGACAUGGCCCUUUUUACCCAGGUUCAAAUCAUUGUGAUGCGUAAUACCCUAUUCCCGCCUUGUUUUGUUUAUGUGGUGGAUAUAUGGUGAACACAAGUGCUCGCGCACUGCUAGCGAGUGCUUGUGCGUUGUUAUUGUCCUUGAAUCUUUUGUUUGGGAGUGUUGUGGGACCCCUGCAAACAAAAUGCUCCAUGGUCUUACAUGUGGUGCUCAUAAAUUAACUAAAAUAAUAUGUUGACUUUGUUCUUCAUGCCAAGUCCAUAAGACUUAAAAGGUACGUUGAAAACCUACAAAACAUUUCCCGCAAAAAAAAACCCUACAAAACACCAUAGAGGGGAAAUAAACACUAAUAGACAGACUUAAUUAAUGAGAUAAUUAAAGAUAAACUUGAAAACUCACGCACACACGCACAUGCACACGCACGCGCACACACAGAGUCGUCAGUAUUGUUUGUUCGUUUGUUUAGUUAUAAGUUUGUUAUGUUUGCCUUUUACUUUUUUUCUUUUUUUCUUUUCUAACAAGAAGUAUUCCGGAAAAAUCUUAAAUUUACAAAAUUCUGAUCGCAAAUUUAAUCGAUGUUCAUAUUGUGUAAAAAAAGUGUGCAUUUUUUUGAAAAAUAUUCUUACCACAAAAAUAAUUUUCAUGAUUUUUAAGAAAUGUUGACAUGUACUAAAAAAUAUAUGAUCAUUACAUUUUUCAAAUGUUCAUGAAAAGGUAAAAAAACGUUCACCAAAACAUUUUUAACAUGUAUCUUCAAUGUUCAAUGUAAUUUGUAAGUUCACCAUGCAUUUAGAAAAAAAUUGACACAUAUUCAUUUAUUUGAAAAAUGAUUGACACGUCUUUAAAAAAUGUUUACCAUAUAUUUAAGAAAAUGUUCAACACAAUAUUGAAAUUUGCUCAACGUAUUUCAAAAAAUGUUCACCGUGUAUUUAUAGUAAAAUGUUGGAAGGUAUUUUAAAAAUGUGUCGUGUGUUCAAACAAUGUCCAGGGUGUAUUAAAAAAUAUUUGAGAUGUAUCUUACAAAUGUUAAACAUAUAAAAACUGUUCAUCAUCUAUUUACAAAAAUGUUGGAUAUGUAUUCCAAAAAAAUUGAUGUAUAUUCAAAAGUAUUGACUGUAUAUUCAUAAGAAUGUUCGACCAGUAGACCAAAAAUAUUCAAGAUCUAUUCAGAAAAAAUUUGACAUGUACUCCUCCAUUUCUAAAUAUAAGCCUGUUUAGAGAUUUCAAUAUGGACUAUAUACGUAUGUAUAUAGACGUAUUUUAAAGCAUAGAUUCACUCAUUUUACUCUGUAUGUAGUACAUAUGGAAAUCCCUAAAGGGCUUAUAUUUAGAAAUGGAGGGAGUACUUAACAGAAUAAUAUUAAAGAAAAAGCAGAUGAAAGGAAAGAAAAAUGUUUAACACAUGUACAAAAAAUGUUGAAAGUGUAAUAAGAAAAUUUGAGUAACCUAAAACUGGGGCCUAAAAAUCAUGAAUAUGAAAAUAUGAAAAUAAUAGGAAACCUAAAAAGGAAAAGGAAAAAAGAAAAAACCAAACGAAAAUAGAAAACGCACUAAAACAAAUUGAAAGAAAAUAAAAAAGGACGCGGAACCUUCCUUAGGCUGCCUAAACCGGGAGAGCAACUAGUUGACGAGCGCUCCUUCGGAAGCCUCACAACGAUCAGCGCCACUUGGCGCGCUCUCAGUCACCGCCACGUGUCGGGCGCUCCCUUCGGAAUUUUUUCCCGCACGCGUUUUUGGAUUUUUUUUUAAAUGGUUUUUUGAUUUUUUUUUCCACCAUUCUUCCUUAGCUUUUGGACCAAAACAAAAUUCGAAAAAAAAUUGCGCGAAAAAACAUGUUUUUUUUCUUCCGCGGGAGGCACGUUUUUGCUUUUGCGAGAGGCACAACCAUGCCUCUCAGAAAUGAAAAAAAACAUGUUUUCUGUUUUUUUCGCAGAGGCACGGUUUUGCUUUCGCGAGAGGCAUGACCGUGUCUCUCGGAAACGGAAAAAACGUGUUUUGUAUUGUUUUUCCUUCUGCGAGAGGCUCGGAAACGAAAAAAAACGUGUUUUCUGUUUUUUUCUUCCGUAAGAGGCACGAUUUUGCUUCCACGAGAGGCACGGUUGUGUUUUCGCGAGAGGCACGGCCGUGCCUCUCGAAAACGGAAAAAAACGCGUUAUGUUUUUUUCUUCCGUGGGAGGCACGAUUUUGCUUCUGCGUUCUGUUGUGAUUUCUCGAGAGGCACGGCCGUGCCUCUUUCGAAAAGGGAAAAAAACCGUGCUCCCAGUUUGGUUUUUGUGUGAAAAAAGUUCGUCAAAACCUAUCAACAUGGUAUCUAAUUUUGAAGAUCUCGACGCGAGGAAUCCAACGGUGAAAACGGUUCGAGAUUUGGAUGCACGGCUUAAGAGAUAAAACGUUUUGAAUAAACGGAUCUACGAAAAAAAGGGAAAAUUUUCCAUGUUGCGACAAAUGGCGCACAUGCAGCAUGCCACUUCUCACAACCUGGGAAGAUGGGAGUGAUCUUUACAAUGAGUACUACUCAAUUCGUGAUUUCACUAAACCGGAGUACUAAAACCAUGCUAUGGGCCGGCUCACUUCAAUGGUCCCCCAUAUCCUAUUUGGUGCCCUUAGCACCAGUUAUAGGCAUUUCUGUAAACCGUUGCACACCACUAAUCUAUCUUGGGCUGGGCCCAUUUAGAUUUUACACUUUACUUCUCGACAACAAUUCCUCCUUUCCGAAACACACGCAUCGCACGUGAAUGGCCAGGCCAAUAUAAUAUUCGCUUUUCUUUUCAUAAAGGUUCCCAGUAGGUUUUGUGAAGCUUCUACAUGCUUCCGGCUUUUUUAUUUUGCUUUUCCGAUUUUUUUUCUUUGUUCGCAAUUUAUUUUCAAAUUCUUGAAUUUUUUUCAAAUCCACGAACUUUAUUCUAAUUCAACGAUUAUUUUGUGAAUGCGUGAACUUUUUUCAAAUCCAUUGAUUUUUCGUAAAAUCCAACAAAUAUGUUUUGAAUGCGUGAACUUUUUCCAAAUUCAUUAACUUUUUCAAAUCCAUGAACUUUUUCAAUUCUGCAAAUAAAUUUUUUGAAUGCGUGAACUUUUUUGAAAUCGUGAACUUUUCUGAAGUUGUGAACUUUCUGAAGUUCAAGAAAGUUUUCAAAUCCAAAAGAAAUUUGACCUCGUGAACUUUUCUGGAGUUUGAACCUUUUGAAGUUCAAGAAAAUAUUCAAAUCCAAAAGAAAUUUGAACCCGUGAACUUUUAAAAAAAAUUGUGAAUUCAAUUUUCGUGUGCAUUUUUUAAUAUUUUCUUUUGAAUUUUUCGUAUUUUCUAAAGAAGUCAACGGUCAACGAUGGCCUGGUUAACUGUGACCAGUCAACUGUCAAACCGAGCGACCAGAAUCGGGUGAACUGGCAUGUCCUGAGCGAGCACUCGCCUCGUUGCUGGGCCGGCUGAUGGAGGGGAGGCGCAUGAGGCGCUGGGGAGGUGGUCUCGAUGAUCUGUAUGGCAAUAAGUGAUACUCCCUCCGUUCCAUAAUAUAGUGCUUAUAGAUUUUCUCAAAAGUCAAACUUUACAAACUUUGAUCAAGUUUGUAGAGAGAAAUAUUUAUAUCUACAAUAGCAAAAAUAUGUAAUGUGAAACUACAUCUUGUGACGAAUCUAAUGAUAUAUAUUUCGCACUCUAGAUAUAAAUAUUUUUCUCCACAAACUUGGUCAAAGUUUAUGAGGUUUGAUUUUUUUAAAAAUCAAUAGGCACUACAUUAUGAAACGGAGGGAGUACUAUAUAGCGAUCACAUACAAAAUGGGCUUGUCUCAAAAAAAAAUGGGCUCAUUAAAAGAUGAGAAGACAGAGUUUUUUUUUGCGGAAAUAAUUCUUGUAUUACUCAAUCAAAGGGGUUCAAUCACGGCUAACUGCGUCCAAAACGACCUCAGGUCCUGAUCCAAGCCAGACGGCAGUACGGCAUUGGGUCCUACCAAAGUUUGGUAGAAUAUAUGACUGGAAGAAUUACAACUGCGGCGUAUAUGAGUAAUACAAGAAGUAUGUUCAAACAUGCUAUCUUUGAUCUCUCUUAUAAGAAAAGCAUACUUCGAUCUGUUUGUGUCUCCACUUCUGACCAUGUUCACUGCCUCCAAAUUAUCACAUUCGAUAUCAAUUGGUGGGCUGCUCCAUUGUAGUGCAAGCAUUACUCCCUCCCUGACUGCUAAAAUCUCAGAUUCUAGCACAUCAUUGCAUGAGAACAGAUGCCUACAAGAGGGGGCGGGACAAAUGGGUUCUGGUAAUUUUGACCAUAAACCUAUUUGUCGCUGGCCCGAUGCUACAGCCGUUAAUUAAAGUUUGUGACCUCUUGUAUCACGACGGAGCAACACCGAACUCGUAUCGGUAUCGCUUGGGCAGGGGCAGUGAAGAGAGCAACGGGAUUGGUCUAAGGAAAAAAACAUGGUGUUUUAUUCUGUGUGAGUCUGAUCUCCUGCUGUCUGCACCUGAAAACAUGGUGGUUCUGCUUCCUCUUCAGCCCACAGUUCCUGAUACUUCGGGCAAAGGAUUCACCACGAGAAAUGCCCCAAAAUUCAGCCCACAGUUACAGUACUAAUUAUCUUUUCAGUAUUAUCCUCAUGAAAUGCCUCGCAGGUGGUGAUCUGGGCUCGGGAAACACUCAGCCUACAGUUGCUAACAAACUGCCUUCGUCGCCACCAUAUGUACCAAGCCGCAACAGCAACAAGGUCAUGUAUCGGCAGUUCCCUCAUGCCCGGCUGUAACUUUGUCAAUUCUACAGUGACACUCAGGAUUCAGGUAUUGACCUGCCCUUGGAUAUGGAUUCCUGUAUGACACUCAAGAGCACACCUCCUCGCUGUACUGUUUUGUUAAAUGGCAGCUCCAAACUCUUUGCUGCCAAUCCUAGUAUAAUACUGCUGUCAAUAUAGUGCUGGAAAAUCUUUAUUCUCAAAGAUACAACAAAUAAAAACAUCGACGGAGCUGGAAAGGUCAGGUUGGCAUUGCUCAGCCCGGCGAUGGAAGAGUAGAGGAAAGCAACAACGAAGAAGCUAGUGACUAACAUGGCAGCCGCCGUGGCAUUGCUCGUGACCUCGGAGCAGCAGCAACGGUAGGGUGUCAUGCCUAACGUGCACUGAUAAUUAUUUUAAGUUAAGCUCCUGGCUACUCCCUCUAUCCCAUAAUAUAGGACAUUAUUACAUCCAAUAUGGGGCAAAGUAACAGCAGCGCAAUUGGCAAGCCAACACACAAACAACGAACAAUGUGAGACUAAGACAGAACAUCUGGAGAAAUUUUGUAAUUUGAAACAUAACGUAACAAACUCAGACUUAGAUGAACAAUUCGCCACUCAGUUUACAAUACACACCGACAACCGCCUCAAAAACCACCAAAUCAAGGGAUGAGCACAUCGCGCCGCACCUAGAAACAAACUAGCCUAACCAACAAGUGGAUACGAGACCCAGAUUAUUCAAAAGUAAACACGGCUAU
rnacentral:lncRNA from 1 species